GUGUCAGCAGCCGCGGUAAUACAGAGAGUGCAAGCGUUAAUCGGAAUUACUGGGCGUAAAGCGCACGUAGGUGGAUACUUAAGUCGGAUGUGAAAUCCCUGGGCUUAACCUAGGAAUGGCGUUCGAUACUGGGUAUCUUGAGUAUGGUAGAGGGAAGUGGAAUUUCCGGUGUAGCGGUGAAAUGCGUAGAUAUCGGAAGGAACAUCAGUGGCGAAGGCGACUUCCUGGACCAAUACUGACACUCAGGUGCGAAAGCGUGGGGAGCAAACAGGAUUAGAGACCCUGGUAGUCCACGCCGUCAACGAUGAGAACUAGACGUUGGGGUUUUAUUGCCCUAGUGUCGAAGCUAACGCGUUAAGUUCUCCGCCUGGGGAGUACGGUCGCAAGAUUAAA
rnacentral:rRNA from 1 species